rnacentral:lncRNA from 1 species
AAGGGAGGCAAGUGGUGGGCACCGCUGGUCGGGUGGUCCGGGCGGGCGGACUACAUGGAGGCCGCGGUGCCCACGCCGGUGGUCGAGGAGGAGGGGAAGACGUUCAUGGGCCUGACGGAGGAGAAGGCGCGGCAGCUGCGGGCGAGGAUGUCGGAGAUGGACAGCUUCCACGACGCCAUGUACCACUCCGCCAUCGCAUCCCGCCUCGCCCGCUCAACCUAGGAGAACAACUGCUGCUCUGUGCGUUUGUACAUAGUCAUGUUUCUCGUCGUGCUGUUAUCAUGGAGGAGAUGCUAGAUGUGAAUACGGGUGGGAUCUGGUUUUAGGAUUGGUCCCUCCCCGAUCUUCUCUUUUACUCUUUUGUAAUUACACACCAUGUGCAAAUGUUUCCAUGUAGCCCAUCUGAAGAUCUAAAAAAGAAGUAUGUCGUCAUCACCAUAUGUGUGUGCGUUGUGAGAGAGUGUUUACAGAAUUCGGUUUCAGAUGAUGCGCGUCAAUUGAGUAUUAGAUCUUCAAAGAAAAAGGGAUAUCCAUGUAAUGCUACAAUGAUUCCCUUUCUUUUUCAGGAUACUGCUAUUACAAUGAUCCUGAACAUCAAACCUCUGGUGUAGUGCAAACCUGGCCAAUCAGGCCGGGUUAAACAGGCCGGCCCNNNNNNNNNNNNNNNNNNNNNNNNNNNNNNNNNNNNNNNNNNNNNNNNNNNNNNNNNNNNNNNNNNNNNNNNNNNNNNNNNNNNNNNNNNNNNNNNNNNNACAUACACACUGCUAAUAAUUUCAAUUAUUGUUCUAAUUCUUUUCUUUUUACAUGGAAUUAUUGUGCUAAUUCCUGCCUCAUCACCUUCAUCAGCCUUGACGUAUGCUAACGAAUACGAAUAAAGGUGCGUGUACGAGUCCCGGUCGGAAAAAUUCAUCACGGACGACACCCCCGAAGAUCGUGGCAAUGAAAGCACCACACCCGAACGGCCAGUCCACGCGGUCACACGUCACGCGCAACGGGAAAGCGCACCCUCCUAGCGGACGCCGUCCCGGCCCACACGCGCCCACGCGGCGUCCCUAUCCACCCCUCCCCUCUCCCGCCGCGCGCCGCUAUAAAAUCCCCCACCCCUCGCACCAACAACUUAUCUCACCCCCUCACAAAGCGCAACACGGACCUCAGAAGCACAUCUCAUCUCCUCUUGUCUCGUCUCACCGUUCAGUGAACUCCGAGCAAGCCAGCGGAAGCUCACGAGCGUCUAGCGAAGCGACAGGCAGAGCAAAUCAAUGGCGAUGGCACCGUCAGCAUCGGUCGUCUCCUUCUCCGCCCGCCCGUCCGCCGCGCUCCGGCCGCGCGCCGCCUCCGCCUCGGCGGGGGCCGGUGGGCGGNNNNNNNNNNNNNNNNNNNNNNNNNNNNNNNNNNNNNNNNNNNNNNNNNNNNNNNNNNNNNNNNNNNNNNNNNNNNNNNNNNNNNNNNNNNNNNNNNNNNUGCUACAAAAGGGAUUGGGCCACUUGCUGCACCGUUUCUACUACUUGUUACUUGUUACUUUUUGCUCGCUACGUUUCACCUGCUAGACAAUCACUUGUUACCGCUACUUUCAGUGCUUGCAGUUAUUACCUUGCUGAAAUCCGUUCAUCAGAGCCUUCUGCUCCUCGUUGGGUUCGACACUCUUACUUAUCGAAAGGGCUAUGAUUGAUCCCCUAUACUUGUGGGUCAUCAGUGUCUUCAAGUCAACAAGUGGUGCGAAGUUCUCCGCAUCCGUCUCCGAUGUCGUCUCCUUCCUCAGGUAAACACCUUUCCCAAUUAGGGUAAGACCAAGAAACGCCAUUGCCAUUGCCCCCGCAAGCUAGCUUUGAACCACAACGAACGUCCCUUCCUGCUUUAGACCUGCUUCAUAUCCUUACGUUAUAUUUUGCAGUAGCAAACCACGGUCACCUUAUUGCAUCUCUCUCUUACCUUAAGUUCUUGUGCCGUAGAUCCAGGCAAUAGUACCGUCGCUUCGUUACGUUCACAGCCUUCAUCAUUUUAUCAAGCAUUAUUCCUUUUAUUUGUUCCUCUCGUAGAUCCGCAAUUUACUGCUUUUUUUUGAGAAACAUGUUUGUCCAUCUUUCGGAAAUAUCCCUAAGGAAAAAAGACCUCUGAGUGUUGCCGCUCGGCUCCUUCCACCACAACGACUUAGACUUAUCAUCAUAGCUACGCCCUCUCUUUUUCGUUUGAAGGGAGAGUCGCAAUACUUUUAAAGAUGUUUCCAUGAAUCGCCCAACUAGCGAGUUAGAAUGCCCUUACAUCCAUAUUUUGUUACCUACCGGCGAGUCACCAAAUCCUUCUCAAACACAUUGUAGACCCGUACUGGCGAGUUAUCACGCCUCAUGGUCCUCACUGAACCGCCUUGUUUUCCUCUUUUUUGUAGUCAUGUUCGUUAUUUCGAAGUGCAAUUGGUUACCAACCAAAAUCGAUGAUGCUACUCUCGAGAUAUUUGUUUAGUCAGAUCAUCUCGACAGUAAGGAAGUCAUUGGUUGGCGAACCGCUCCGGGCGAGUUGAUCCCCAAUCCUUCCGAUGGAGAAGUAGUCAUUUUCACCGAUUACCUCGAACGAGGUUUUAAGCCACCCGGGUCAACGUUUUUCCGAGACUUUCUGCAUUUUCUUAACGUCCAUCCUCAGGACCUGGGACCCAACUCCAUCAACAAUCUUUGCUAGUUCCAAGUGUUUUGUGAGGUAUACCUGCAAAGAGAUCCCAAAGUUCGUUUGUUUUGGAACUUCUUUCACUUGAAUCACCAGACUGAAUUUACCAACGGACCCAAUCAUGAACUUGGAGGAGUCAACAUCCAGAGACGCCAUGAGCGCGGAUUUCCAUCAGUCCUUCUGCCCAGCCAUCCCAAAGGCUGGGCCGAGUCAUGGUUUUAUUGCCGCAACACGUCUCCACCUGGCAAGAACCCACUUCUGGGUUUCAGAGAGGAUCGCCUUCCCAUGGAUUUCAAACUGUCCUAGAAGCUCACAGAAGAAGAAGGAUCUGAAUUUAUUCCCAUCUUCUCCGAGUUACGGUCUCUGACCAAUAACGGGCUCAUUGGGAUUGAUCUGUUCCGCUGCUAGGUGGAAUGGAACAUUCUUCCCUUGAGUCGCCGAGACGGGUUAAUGUGUGAACAUGAUGGUAAGGUGAACCAUCCGCAAUGCUUCCACCACAAAAAACUUGUAGAGAGUGACAUUGUUGGAAUAAUCAAGAAGCUAACCGGCGAGUCUUUGGAAGAAUGUGCCAAAAUCGGGCUUAAGGCCUUCUGCGCUACAACCCGGCUCCGCCAGUAAGAAUCUAAGCCGCCUUCCUUUUCCUUAUAAAUAUACUUGCCAAUGCUCUGGGUUUGAAGUUUACUUCUAUUCAUUAGAAAGACGACCCCUUUUCGCAAAGGGGUCUGAAAGUGAUAACCCAGAAGAACACCAAACCACCGCUAAAGAAGAAGAGGAAAGCAGGCAAAGGUAAAGCCGCCGCCAAGGAUUCAUCUGUCGUCGGCGAGUCACGAGCUGUUGAAGAGCAGUCAGAGGUAAAACUUCCCCUUUACUUAUCACGUGUAUAUUCCGACUCAUGCUUAAACCAUGCGCCUUUAUGUGUAGGGCGAGGACAACGAGAGCCAAGAUGAUGCGGUUGAGGUAAUUUCUAUUUCUUCCGACUCAUCUUCCCCUUCUCCUAGACCAGCCAGAUGGAUCUGUGGGAAAGUCCCCAUGUCACACCCAUAUGCUUAUAUGGACCCUGAUUUCCUUUGGAAGAAGGCAAGAUAUACUCCCAAGCGCAAAACCCGGAGUCACUCUGGCGACUUAAUUUUCGGACUGCAUGAGAAGACAACCGGUCGGAAGCGCACAAGUGAGGUAUACUUUUUAAAAUAUAAUCUUCUUUGUAGAAAAUACGAUUCUCAACUUCCUUAGCCUUCAAACUUUUAUUCUGUCAAACUUCUCCCCCUUCAUCUGGCGACUGAGUAAUGUCAGCUCUCCCGCCAAUGAUUCGUGUGCAAGGGUGAGUCCCUUUGUUAACUCUCUUUCUUCCAAAUAACGAUAUGUGCCUUAAUCUUGGUGCCCUUAUCUCAGAGCACAGGCGAACAAAAGACAAACUAGCGACUUAUCUUCUGCUCCUAAGAUGACUGAGGCCUUAGGCACGACCACCUCUGUCCCAGAUCUUGAUGAGGACCAAGCGGCAGCUCAUGACAUUCCUGUGGACGAUAUCCCCAAUGUCCGAGAUGACUCGCCCAUUAUUUUGAAGAAACUGCUGACAAGGUUAACCCGCCGAACCCUCUCGAGGUGACUGAAGAUCCAGAUGCCGUCAUAAUCACCAACACUGGCUACUCCACACCUUCAGCGACGGUGAUAUCCAAGCACACAUCAAAGGAAUCUCAACCUUCCACCGAUCAAGACGUAAGUAAGUUCAAGCUCCCGCAGUAUGAGAAGCUGGAAUUUGACCAACUCUGCUCUAGCUUUGCAAGUCGCCUAGAGAUGAGUUAUGAAAUGAACAAAAUCUUGAUUCACCUGAUGAAAGUUAAGCAUGAGGUAUGUUUAUUUAAGUAUUCUCUUCCACCCAUUAGCCUUCCAAGGGCCGGGUCAUCUUGUAAAAGAUGUGUCGGGUCUUGUGUAUAAUUAAAAUCUUCAACGUGUUGCCCCCAAGGGUGAGGUCAUCUUUUGAAAGAUGAGCCGGGUCUUGUGUAUAAUUAAAAUCUUCAACCUGUAUCCCCCAAGGGCCGGGUCAUCUUUUGGAAGAUGAGUCGUGUCUUGUGUAUAAUUAAAAUCUUCAACAUGUAGCACCCAAGGGUCGGGUCAUCUUUUGAAAGAUGAGCCGGGUCUUGACUUUUAGAUAAAAAUCUUCAGCCUGUAGCCCCGAAGGGUCGGGUCAUCUUUUGGAAGAUGAGCCGGGUCUUGUGUAUAAUUAAAAUCUUCAACCUAUAGCCCCCAAGGGUCGGGUCAUCUUUUGAAAGAUGAGUCGGGUCUUGACUUUUAGGUAAAAAUCUUCAGCCUAUAGCCCCCAAGGGUCGGGUCAUCUUUUGAAAGAUGAGUCGGGUCUUGUAUUUUGUAUGACUUUGAAUAAAAUAAUACAUUAGACCCCAAGUGUGAGGAAUAUUGCUUGCAAUAAUUUUGAAACUUGUCUCCCCGAAUGUUGUUUUGCAGGAAUCUGUUACCCAGACUGAGUCAUCUUUAGCCGACUUAAGGAAGAACCUAGCCGAACAACAAAAUGCCCAAUCUGAGUCAGAGAGGGAAUAUCACUUGGUUCUAGCUGAACUGGAUAGAAUGAAAACUGAUCAUCAAAAACUGGAGAAGAAAGCCAAAGCUGACCAAGCCGCCAUCCUGAAGUGCACUGAGCAAGCCGAAGGAAAACUAGAAGCUGCCCAGCAAAAGCUUUCCGGCUUGAAAAAGCACAUCUCCAACAUGACUGUAGCCAUGUUUGGUAAGUAUUAACCCUUGCUUAUUGAAGAAAUAAGUCUAAUCUCCCAAAGCUAUCAAACACUGAUGUGUCCUUUGUAGGUUCACGAGCCGCCAACCUCCCAGAUGACUGUAUGCUGAAGCUAAAGGCUAUGUAUACCUUCACCGAGCAGUUAUACACAGGGGGUGUGCUGACAAUUAAAGCGGUGACGGGCAGCAAAGAGCUAGUUAAAUCCAUCAAGAACAUGCUCAGCUGUCUAUCCACAUUGCCUCCUGAGAUACAGGAACUGAAAAGAUCAGCCGCCCGGAAGGGAGUCCUGAAUACCCUAAGCCGGUGUUUAGCCUAUGCUCCGGAGCUAAAACCAGAAGAAAUAGCCGCUGGCUAUCCUGAACUGAAGGACGAUGGGUCGGAGUUCACCGAGGAGGACUACCACCGAGUGAUCAAGGAAUCCCGCUUCUCGGCGACUCAGCUGGCAGCCGGCUUGGAUUUGAAUAAAUACCAAGCCGCAUAUGAUGAGAAGAACAAGAAGGUGACUCCUCCCUCGUACGAAAUUACUAGCUUGGCUCCUCGCCGGCCCAAGAAUCCUUUUGACCUUGACAUGGAUCUAUCCCUCUUCCUUGAUGAUGAAGAUGAGUUCGUCGCCUUAUCCAAGUGUAACUGGAAACUGGGCGACUUACAAACUGAAGUUGGAGAGAGCUCAAGGCAAGGUGAUCCGGAGGCGGAUUGAGUCUUCUCAAGAUGUAAUUUUUGCUUUAAAAAAACAAUCUGAUCCUUUCUUCAUUGGGGGAUGACGCCCGACUUGGCCAUGCGAGCCAUGUAAUAGCUUGUUUAGAUUUUGCAGGGAAACAAUUGGUCACUAGUGCCUUUUGAUUCACCUUCCUGAACCACUUAUUCCUUCCAUCUAUUCAUGAAUCACCUUUAAUUUUGAUAAAAAAGGGAGUGUCACAGUUUGACUAAAAACCCUUCAUCCUGUGUGUCAGGAAAACGUAAGCCGACUUAGUGAGCUAUGGCAAAGAAAAGACCAACCCCUGGGUUAUGGCAAAAAAUAAACCAGCCCCCUCGGCUAUGGCAAAUAAUAGUUAAAAACUGGCCCAAUGAGUCGUGGUGAAUUAUAAACAAAGCAGACUCAAAGAUAUUAUGAAACCUUGUGGUUGUGCCAUCAAGAAAUAAAAUUCGUCGGCUCAAUGAGCUGCGACAGGACAAGACGAGUUUGCAAAACUCUAGUGUUACCCUUAGAAGGCUUUUGCAACAGCCUUGUUUUUUUAGACCGGCUGAUCACGCGCUAGUCAAGCUUCAGUGAAGCAGGUUCAAUGAACCAAUGGUUUCUCUAUUCUCCAUGUGUGGCUCCGGCCAGUACCUUUUAUGUUUCAACCAAGGCGAGUUCAGGGUCCAGAUGACGGAUUGACUCGCCCAGAGUACAUAGGUCCAUGUGGCGACUUGUCCAACACAUAGUCCAGUAUAACCAUUUGUAAUGCGGUAAUUUUUCGAUAGCCAAGAGGGUAUUCAGGCUGAACUCAGUUAGUGGAAGCCCCCAAGUGACGUAUGAUUUAGGAAAAGUCGGGCAUAGGAUCGCAGAAGCGUUUAAGCUCUUACUGCAAAACGACUUGGGAAAUGGUAGCCCCCAAGUAAGCCGGCUUAAUUCUCAAAAUCAUAUAAGGCGCCUAUGUUUGAACCGUGCACGUGGCGACUUGUCCUCUUUGGCUUUAUCAAGGCCCAGUUUUGAAAUAAGUGAAGCAUGGCGACUUACGCUCUUUGGGUUUGAUAGCGUCCAUGUUUGGACGACUUAUAGAACAAUAAAGACUCAGGCUUUCAAAAGAUGAAACGGCAAAAGACCUCGAAGUUCGUGGGUGCCGGCUUUAUUGCUUUCAUAAAUAAUGAAAUACAAUUUUAUGCAUUUUGGAAAAAGGAGCCCAUGGUUCUAAGUGUAGUAAGGCCGCAGGUGGGCUAUGUUCUAGGGGCGAGUUGUCUCAACCUUUGUAGUUGGCCGAUCUGGGAGAAGAUCCACCAAGUAGUAUGAGCCAUUUCGAAGAUUCUUGCUGAUGACAAACGGUCCUUCCCACGGAGGUGAUAGCUUGUGCAUACCAGUGUGAUCUUGACUCAAACGGAGCACCAAGUCGCCCUCUUGAAAAGUCCAGCUCUUGACCCGGCGGCUGUGGUAGCGUCGCAAGUCUUGUUGGUAGAUCGCCGAUCGUGACGCGACCAAGACACGUUCUUCCUCCAAAGCAUCCAACGAGUCUUGUCGUGCCAGCUCGUUGUCCUGUUCCACAUAGGCGGCGACUCACGGUGAAUCGUGUAUCAUGUCACUUCGUAACACCGUUUCUUCCCUGUAGACCAGAAAGAAAGGAGUAAAACCCGUGGAGCGAUUUGGAGUUGUCCUGAUGCUCUAUAAUACUGAGGGAAAUUCUUCCACCCAACACCCUGGAGUGCGUUCCAAAGGUACCAUGAGCCGAGGCUUAAUUCCCUGCAAUAUUUUCUGAUUCGCCCUUUUCGCCUGCCCAUUAGACUGGGGAUGUGCAACCGCGGAGAUGUCAAGCCGGAUAUGCUCUCGUGAACAAAACUCUUGCAUUGCACCUUUGGAUAGAUUAGUACCAUUGUCAGUAAUGAUACUAUGAGGGUAUCCAAAUCUGAAAAUCAAUUUUUUCAAGAAUUUGACAGCCAUGUCUACAUCACAGCUACUAACGGGCUCUGCCUCAACCCAUUUGGUAAACUUGUCAACCGCCACCAAUAGGUGGUUUUUUUAUUGGAUGACAUCUUGAAAGGGCCAACCAUGUCAAGCCCCCAGACUGCAAACGACCAAGUGAUUGGUAUCAUUCGCAAUUCCUGAGCCGGCAUGGGCAUCUGACGUCCAAAUUUUUGGCAGCCAUCACAUCGGCGAAUGAUCUCCUCUGCGUGUGCAUGAGCAGUCAGCCAAUAGAACCCAUGUAUAAAGGCUUAAGAAACCAAGGAUCGUGACACAGCAUGAUGACCACAGUCGCCUGCGUGAAUCUCAAUAAGGAUCAUGCAUCCUUCUUCAGGAGAGACGCACCUUUGAAAUACCCCUGAGGUGCUUCGUUUGUGCAACUCGCCAUUGUGUAUGACCAUGGAUUUACACCGAUGGACGAUUUGGCAAGCCGAUAAUUCAUUGGCAGGUAACUCGCCUCUAGUGAGAUAUGCCACAUAAGGAGCUUCCUAAUUCGGAGUAGCAUGAAGAGACGCCACAAGUUGAGACUCGGGGUCCGACACCGCCAAGUCUUCCUCUGAAGGCAGUCUCACCAAGGGGUUAUGUAAUACAUCCAAAAAGACAUUGGGAGGAACCGGCUUACGUUGUGAACAGAGACUGGAAAGAGCGUCCGCUGCUUCAUUAAGUCGCUGGUCGAUGUGAUUCACCUGAUAGCCAUGGAAAUGACCAGCCACAUAUGACACAGCUCGUGUGUAAGAUGCCAUCAAGAGGUCUCUUGAAUCCCAGGUGCCAUAAACCUGCUGUGCCACCAAAUCUUAGUCGUCCAGACAUCUGACUCGCGUGAGGUUCAUCUCUUUGGCGAGUUGCAACCCAUGGAGCAAGGCUUCAUUUCUACUGCAUUAUUGGUACAUGGGAACAUGAGCCGAAGGACAUAGCAAAACUUGUCACCUUGAGGCAAAGUUAUCACCACGCAAGCCCCCGAGCCUUCCAAUUGCCUGGAUCCAUCGAAACAGAUGGUCCAAUAAGUAUGAUUGGGCCUAUCCUAUGGGAUUUGCAACUCGGUCCAAUCAUUGAUGAAGUCCACAAAUGCUUGAGAUUUGAUGGCCGUCCGAGGCGUAUACCGCACAUGAUGGGGCCCUAACUCGAUGGCCCAUUUAGCAAUCCUUCCAGUUGCCUCUCCAUUCUGUAUGAUGUCACCAAGGGGGGGCAGAACUGACGACCAUGAUUGGAUGUUCUUGGAGGUAGUGCUUCAGCUCCCGACUUGCCAUAAACACCCCAAAAACCAUCUUGUGCCAAUGUGGGUAACGUUGCUUGGAGAGGGUUAGGACCUCGCUGAUAAAAUACACCAGUCAUUGGACCGGAUACUCCUUUCCUUUUUCCUUCCGCUCGACAACCAAUGCCACGCUAACCGCCUUGGAAUUGGCGGCGAUGUACAGGAGCAUAGGUUCCUUGUCCGUCGGAGCCGCCAAUACUGGCGGGUUAACUAAUUGUCACUUCAAGGCUUCAAAGGCUUCGUUGGCUUCGUCCGUCCAUACGAAUCUAUCAAUUUUCUUGAGAAGAUGAUAGAGAGGGAUGGACUUCUCCCCGAGGCGACUUAUAAAGCGGCUCAGAGCUGCGAUUCGACCCGCCAUGCAUUGGACUUGGUUAAUGUUAGCCGGUUUCCCAACGAAGUAAUUGCUUCAAUUUUGUCCGGGUUAGCUUCAAUGCCACAUUUCGACACCAAAAAGCCCAAUAAUUUCCCUGCACGAACACCAAACACACACUUGGAGGGAUUAAGCCUCAUCUGCUAAACGCACAGGUUGUCAAAAGUUUUCUUGAGAUCCUCCAAGAGCGACUCCUUCUGUCGAGAUCUGACCAUGAUGUCGUCCACAUCAGUGUGGACAUUACGACCGAUCUGGUUGUGCAAACAAUUUUGGAUGCAACGCUGAUAAGUCGCCCCGGCACUUUUGAGCCCGAACGGCAUAGACACGUAACAGAAAGCUCCGAAACCAUCUACCAUCUAGAUCUAGUGGUAUCCUGAAUAAGCAUCCAAGAAACACAAACGCUCACAACCCGCCAGCGAAUCAAUAAUUUGAUCAAUGCGGGGAAGGGCGAAGGGGUCCUUCAGACAGGCUCUGUUGAGGUCAGUGUAGUCGAUGCACAUGCGGAAAUUGCCCUUCUUUUUGAGCACCAUGACUGGGUUAGACAUCCAUUCAGGAUGGAAAACCUCGAUGAUAAACCCGGCGGCCAAAAGCCAGGCGACUUCCUCUCCGAUCGUCUUACAACACUCUUCAUUAAACCUGCGAAGCUAUUGCCGGACUGGCUUAACUUUGGGGUCAGUAUUAAUAUGGUGCUCAGUNNNNNNNNNNNNNNNNNNNNNNNNNNNNNNNNNNNNNNNNNNNNNNNNNNNNNNNNNNNNNNNNNNNNNNNNNNNNNNNNNNNNNNNNNNNNNNNNNNNNCUGCCUAGCCUAGCGCCACCACUUGUCGCCACCAGCGAGCCACCUAGCCACCAUGUGCAGCCAAUCCGGAGCCACCACGUCGCCAGUAGCUCUUCCCCGCCGCUGCAGACCAACGGGGCCCGAAGCUGGCUCACCCUGGGCCGAAGUGGGCCUCAGCCAGGCCCAGCGUGCCCCCUCCUCCUCUCGGGUAGGAGCAGCAGCCCCGCUGCGCGAGGAAGCUCCACCCGAGCCGCCCAUGCCCUGUGCCCCACCCCACUAGUCGAUGAGCGCCGCCAUCAGCGCGCCACCGCAUCCCGUCGGCCGGAGCGCCCGUUCCCGCCGCCAGCAGCCUUCCACCGGGCCGCUCCGUCGUCCUGCCCGAGCCAUCGCAUAGCCAGGACGUCUGCCAUCCUUCUCCGCUCCGUCGCCGGCCAAAUUCGAGCCACCUGGCCUAGAUCCGCCGGUCCCCAUUGCCGCCCGUCUCGUUCUCGGCCGGCACGAGUCCCUCCGCCGGUCGCCGCCCUUCGAGCCUGUAGCCCUGCGCUGAAAUGUGCCUCUGCUCGCGUGAGCACGGGGCGAGCCGCUCGUCCAGCGAGCGAGGCGCUCGCAUGGGCGUGCAGCCUUCGCGCGGCUGAGGAUCACCCUGUGGGCCGGCCUCCUCCAGCCGAAGCUAAGGCCCGAGGCCCAGCCAGCGCCCCCAUUCGGCCUCACUCUUCUCCGCCGAUCUGGGCCGCAGACCGCGAGGUGAGCCCUGCAGCCCCCCUAUAUUGCGCCAUGGGCGACAUUUAGUUAACGUGCGCUCGGUUUUAUGGGACCAAUUGUAAACAGAUUCGGCCCGUAGNNNNNNNNNNNNNNNNNNNNNNNNNNNNNNNNNNNNNNNNNNNNNNNNNNNNNNNNNNNNNNNNNNNNNNNNNNNNNNNNNNNNNNNNNNNNNNNNNNNNUGUUGGAAAUAUGCCCUAGAGGCAAUAAUAAAAUGGUUAUUAUCAUAUUUCCUUGUUCAUGAUAAUCGUCUAUUGUUCAUGCUAUAAUUGUAUUAACAGGAAACAGUAAUACAUGUGUGAAUAAAUAGAUCACAAUGUGUCCCUAGCAAGCCUCUAGUUGGCUAGCUCGUUGAUCAAUAGAUGAUAAGGGACAUUAGAUGUCAUUGAUAACGGGAUCAUAUCUUUGGGAGAAUGAUGUGAUGGACAAGACCCAAUCCUAAGCAUAGCACUAGAUUGUAUUGUUCGUAUGCUAAAGCUUUUCUAUUGUCAAGUGUCUUUUCCUACGACCGUGAGAUUGUGCAACUCCCGGAUACCGUAGGAGUGCUUUGGGUGUAUCAAACGUCACAACGUAACUGGGUGACUAUAAAGGUGCACUUCGGGUACCUGUGAAAGUGUCUGUUGGAUUGGUACGAAUCGAGAUCGGGAAGGUGCACUACGGAACGAGUAAAGAGACUUACCGGUAACGAGAUUGAACAAGGUAUAGGUAUACCGAUGAUCGAAUCUCGGGCAAGUUCUAUACCGACAGACAAAGGGAAUUGUAUACGGGAUUGAUUGAAUCCUUGACAUCGUGGUUCAUCCAAUGAGAUCAUCGUGGAACGUGUGGGAUCCACCAUGGGUAUCCAGAUCCUGGUGAUGGUUAAUAGCCGGAGAGCGUCUCGGUCAUGUCUGCACAAUUCCCAAACUCGUAGGGUCUACACACUUAAGGUUCGAUGACGCUAGGGUUAUAGGGAAAUGUUAUAUGAGGUUACCGAAAGUUGUUCGGAGUCCCGGAUGAGAUCUCGGACGUCACGAGGAGCUCUGGAAUGGUCCAGAGGUAAAGAUUGAUAUAUAGGAUGGAUGGUUUUGGACACCCGAAAUGUUUCGGGCAUCACUGGUAGCGUACCGGGACCACCGGGACCACCGGAAAUGGUCCCGGCGGUCCACCAGGAGGGGCCACCCACAAGAGGCCCAGGGCGCGGGAGGGAGAGAAGGGGGGGAAACCCUGGCGCUGGUGGGCCUAAGUCCCACCUAAGGGGUGCGCCACCCCCUCCCCCUGCCCUAGCCGCCACACCUCCCAUCUAGGGAGGCUGCCGCACCACCUAGAGGGGAAACCCUAGGGGUGGCAUGAUACGUCUCAUUCGUAUCUACUUUUCUGAACUCUUUUGCCCUUGUUUUGGACUCUAAUUUGCAUGAUUUGAAUAGAACUAACCCGGACUGACGCUGUUUUCAGCACAAUUGCCAUGGUGUUGUUUUUGUGCAGAAAUAAAAGUUCUCGGAAUGUCUUGAAAAUUUACGGAGAAUUUUUCCGGAAUAAAAGAAAAUUACCUAAGCAAAGAUGCACCGGAGGAGGUGGACCAGUGGGCCAAAAGACCACAGGCCGCGGCCACCCCCCUGGUCGCGCCGUGAGGGCUUGUGGGGCCCACGUGGCUCCACCGCCCCCAAACUCAGCUCAAUAUCUUCCGUUUCUCCAGGAAAAAAAUCAGAGAGAAGGUUUCAUCGCGUUUUGCGAUACGGAGGCGCCGCCACAUCCUGUUCUUCAUCUGGAGGGCAGAUCUGGAGUCCGUUUCGGGCUCCGGAGAGGGGAAAUUGUCGCCAUCGUCAUCAUCAACCUUUCUCCAUCGUUCGUGAGUAAUCUUAUCAUAGGCUUGCUGGACGGUUAUAAGUUGGAUGAGAUCUAUCAUAUAAUCGAGUUAGUUCUUGACGGGGAUUGAUCCCUAGUAUCCACUAUGUUCUAGAUUGAUGUUGCUACUACUUGGCUAUGCUUAAUGCUUGUCACUAGGGCCCGAGUGCCAUGAUUUCAGAUUUAAACCUAUUAUGUUGUUGCCAAUAUAUGUGUGUUUUACAUCCUAUCUUGCAAGUUGUAGUCACCUACUAUUGGUUAUGACCCGGCAACCCCGGAGUGACAAUAGCCGGAACCACUCCUGGAGAUGACCAUAGUAUGAGGAGUUCAUGUAUUCACCGCGUGUUAAUGCAUUGGUAUGGUUCUUUAUUAAAAGGAGAACCUUAAUAUCCCGUAGUUUCCAUUAGGACCCCGCUGCCACGGGAGGGAUGGACAAUAGAUGUCAUGCAAGUUCUUUUCCCUAAGCACGUAUGACUACAUACAGAAUACAUGCCUAUAUUAGAUUGACGAACGGGAGCUAGUUACAUAUCUCUCCGUGUUAUAGCUGUUACAUGAUGAAUCACAUCCGUCAUACUCAUCCAUCACCGAUCUACUACCUACGAGUCUUUUACUACUGGUUCUCGCUACACUACUUUGUCUAGGCUUGUCCCUUGCUACCAAAGGGAUUGGCCACUUUGCUGCUGUUGUUGCUACUGUUGUUACUUGUUACUCUACUGCUGCUGUUCCUUGCUACUCCGUUGUUACUUGUUGCAAGACUUUGUUGGAGCCGUAGCCGGGGAAGCAUUCUUCUCAAGAAUAAUCGCCCGUCCACGUGCUGGCGCCUUUGAUACAACUGUUAGGAAUAGUCUGCCGUGUCAACAGAUUGUUUUUGGCACCGUUGCUAUCAUACUACCUUGCUACUCAUACUUUGCUAUCAGACACUAAUCUUUCAGGUGUGGUUGAACCUGACACAUUCAGCUGCUAAUACUUGAGAAUAUUCUUUCGCUUCCCGUCUUAGCGAAUCAAUAAAUUUGGGUUGAAUACUCUACCCUCGAAAACUGCUGCGAUCCCAUCACUUGUGGGACAUCAGAGCCGCCGCCACACGAGGCCCCGUCGAGCAGCCGGAGUGCCACCUUGGCGCCUACAACCAUGGUGCGCCUGAGGCCAACGGGAGUCGCCGCCCCAAGCUUUGCCGUGCCCACCGGAUUCAUCCGCUGCCACCCCAGAACCACCGGCCCCGCGCCUCCACUCGCUAGCGCGCCGCCAGCCGAGUUCCCCGUCGCCGCAUCGCCAGCCUCGCCCAUGGCGAUCCAGAUCGGAUCGAGGGGUCGGGCGCCUCCCCGCUUCGGCCUUGGGCUGCGCCGCCGCGCUCGUGGGCCGCCUCGCGCGCUUGGGCCGCGUCGCCCAGGCCGGCCUCCUCCAACCGCCUCCUCAGCCCUUCGGCCUGCCUCCCCCCUCCUUCACCAGGCUGAGCCCAUGGGUAAGCAGCCUUAUCCUUCGCCCAUGCGAUGUAUAGUUAAGUUGUGCAACAGAUCGGGCCCGAAUAUUUUUUUAGGCCUGCGAAUUAAUUCUUUUUCAGAAAGAUGCUAGAUAUUAAAACACCCGUAGUUUUUAAACCGUGCAUCGGUUGCAAUGAUUUAGAUAUGUAACUUGGCUAGAAUUUCUCGUAGAAUAUUAAUUUACAACUUGCAUGCAUGUUUGAAGUGGUUUGGCCUAUCAUUUGCAUAGAUUUGCGUGUUGUCCUAAUAGGUUAGAUAUUCCGUAGAGAUUUUUGUGCGCGUCCGGAUUGUUCAAAUCCCAUAGAUAAAGUGUUCACAUUGUUCGGGACCCUUUGCCAUGAAUUUUAGGUAAUGUCUCUCUAUUUUGCAUGUAGGUGCCGUUAAUAGAUUGCUAUGUCCUGUUUAUGACAUAUUCUCGCAUAUAUGUGUGGCGUUAGUUUUAUUUUGCAACCCCUCAUAUUAUAUAUGUUUUCGGGGUAGAAAAAUCCAUAGAAUUUGAUUGUGCAUUUAGUUUUGCCUUCCGAGUAAGUUUGCGUCCAUGAUAUUUUGCCAUGUUGCUCUUUUUUUAUUUUGUGAGAUUUAUUCCGUGCGUGAUAUGCAUGAGUUGUGUACUAGAGAUAUGCUCUUGGAUUUGUAUGCUAGCCCCUGGUAAUUUUGGUUCCAAUAGAAAUCUAAGUUUAUGUGUUGUUUGCUUGUUGUCAACAUGCUAGAAAAUAGUGUUAAUUUGGAGAUGCUGAAAUAUUUCAAAGUCUGAAAUCUGUUAUGUUUUUUUGUUGUCUUGCCAUGAGUUUUUCUAGUGAUCUACAGUACCUUUGGGGUGUGUGCAAUGGAGUUAGUUGUAGUCCUUAAGGUUCUCUAGCAUGUUGUAAAUUUUCAUGUCAUUCAGAGCCCUGUAGCAUAUAGUUUUGCUGCUGUCAAUAUGCCUUCAGAUCGAAUACCGCACUCUCAAUAUUGUUAUUUUCACUAAGUCUGAAACUGUGUGUGAGAUGUCAUUUUGUAAGUUCUUUUCCUAGUGAUCCAUGCUGCCAUGCUAUAUGUUAUUAGUAGGAUGUUGUAGUGCAUCUUUGACUACUUCUGUCUCAUGCCUUGUAUGAGUAUUUUAGAUUUAUGUAGCUUGUUGUUUUGUGGUGUAGGAAAUGCCACAUUGCUGUUUUUUGGCAGAUUAUGACUAUUUCUUGUGUAGCUUGUAUUUGUUGAACCGUUGCUCCGUUAUGGUCGUGUACUAUAUGAAACUUGUUUAGAAUCUCGUGUAGUUUCAUAUUAUAUUGCUGCCUUCUUGGUUUGGAAUGUUUGUGGCUGUUAUUCGCAUACAUAUUGCAUUCAUGGCAUCAUAUCUUGCGGUGAUCAUAUCUUUUGAACCGUUGCUCCGUUUGCAUUGACCUCUAUGUGUAAAUUGAUUGGAAUGUAGCGUAGAAUUACGUGAACCUAUUCUUUUUUUUUUAACAAACAUUAAAACGUGUUAGUUCAGAUCUGGACAGAAUUAUAAAUUAACAUAUGAGGUCAGUUCGGAGAUGUGAUUUGCCGUUUUCGACGUCAUUUAAAAUGCCUAGAUAGGUAGCUUAAUUACGCUUCACCUCCUGCCAUGUUUAACCAACAUUUAAUAUUUCCUUGUAAAUAAUCGGAAGUGAACUAAAUGAUUAAAGGUGGAGUUUCGUUGAUAUGCAACUCAUUGCAUAUUGAACUUCACUUAACGUGUAGUGUUUGAUUGUGUGAAUUGCCAUGUCAUACCGUGUAUAAAUGAAACCGCUCAUGCAUCAUAUGUGUUGUGCAUCGUGUGGUGAAUAUCGUGUGUUGAUUCUUGUUUCCGGUUUGCUUCGUCUCGAUAGAGUUCCGCAAGCGUGUCGGAAUGUGAGGAUCCGUUCAACUACGUUGGCUCGUCUACUUCACGGAGUCAUUCGUCUUCCAAGCGGGAUCUCAGUGAAGAUGACCAUUUCCCUAGAUACCAUUACUAUCAUUGCCAUGCUAGUUUUAUUGUUUCUAUCAUUAUGUCUCGCUGCCUACCACCUGUUAAAUAGCAGCCUCUCAGCAUUGCCAUGAAAACCUUCAACCUGAUCACAACCUAGCAAACCACUGAUUGGCUAUGUCACUGCUUGCUUAACCACAUGUUAGCGUUGCUUGUUGCAGGUGCAGUUGCUUCCAUGUGAUAAAAUGAGUUCCUUGUUAUAUCACCAUAUUGAUGUUAUUUAAAUUAAUGCACCUAUAUACUUGGUAAAAGGUGGAAGGCUCGGCCUUUCUAUCCUGGUGUUUGGUUCCACCUUUGCCCCCUUAGUUUCGUCUACCGGUGUUAUAUUCCAUAACUGAGCGCUCCUAACAUGAUCGGGGUUGGUAUGGGGACGCCCUUGAUAAUUUUUUUUAGAUUAAGACUGGUCUGGCAAGGCUCAACUUUGGUACUACAUUUGCCUAAAUAACUACUGAACCACAUAGGGAGUAAUUAACUCGAGGAAACUUAAUCAACCCCCGGGUCAGAGCUCCUCAUGAGUGUUGGUCCAACCCAGAGCGCUGUGCGGGGCCAACCCAGGGCAACAUGGAUGACGCGUAACUUAUCCGUCAUGUCCUGAGAACGAGAUAUGUGGCUCCUAUCGGGAUCAUCGACACGUCGGGUGGCCUUGCUGGAUUAGUUUUACCUUUGACGAAAUAUCUUGUGCAUCGGGAUUCCAGUGAGACUUUGGGUAAUCUCAGAGUUGAGGUUUUCUACUAAGUAAUCCGAGGAGAUCACGAGUUUCGUGAUCGAGGAUUUCUAUGCGGCUUGUGGUAAUUUGUGAUGGACUAGUUGGAGCACCCCUGCAGGGUUAAAUCUUUCGGAAAGUCGUGCCCGCGGUUAUGUGGCAACGUGGAAACUUUGUUUAACAUUCGGUUCUAGAUAAAUUGAAGUAAGCUUAAUUAAAACUUGCCAACUGAGUGCGUACCCUUGAUUGUCUCUUUCGUGAGCUCCUUCUCCGAUCGAGGACACAGUGGGGUUAUGUUUGACUUAAGUAGGUGUUCAGGAUCAUUCAUUUGAUCAUCAGUAGUUCACGUCAGCUAUGCGUAUAUCAUCCGCCUCUUAUUCUUGUUCUCAUAAGUUAGCCACCUCUAAUAAAUGCUUAGUCGCUUGCUGCAGCCUCACCACUUAACCAUACCUCACCUAUUAAGCUUUGCCGGUCUUGAUACCUUUGGAAAUGAGAUUGUUGAGUCCGUUGUGGCUCAUAGAUUACUACAACACCAGUUGCAGGUACAGGUAAAGGAUAGUUAGACGUGAGCGCGAUGAUUGUGCUAUUUGGAGUUUCUUCUUCUUCCUCUUCAUCGAACUAGGACGGGUUCCAGGCCGGCCGCCUAGGAUAGCAAGGAUGGACGUCGUUAUUUUAUCGUUUUUUUUCGUCCAUAGUCGGGCCCUGCUAUUGUACUGAUGAUUGUAUUUAUUGUACUGAUGUGACUCUGAUGUAGCUUGUGGCGAGUGUAAGCCAACUCCUUAUACUCAUCUUUUCAGUACAUGUACUUAUAACGAUAUCCUUUCUUGUGAAACGACAAGAUGCGUUUCCAUCCCUGCCGAGGCCCUCGCGCUAAAAAUAAGGAUAGGAUAGCAUCUUGGGUGUUAAAAUAUGGUAUCAGAGCAGUACCGACCUAGGAGCCCCCUUGAUUGAUGGAACUUGGACGAGUCGAGUCUAGUGAAAAACUACUUUGAGUCUAGUUAUAUAUCGGAGGGUAGGCUUCUUUUUUCUCCUCUUCUAUGCUCUGGUGAGGAAUCUUGACGUAAUAAUUUAAUUCUACUCCUCUUCUCACGCAUUUUUUUUUCAGGAUCACGCGGAUAUUUUUGGAAUCUAUAUGAUGUCGAUGUGACCGAGUUCUGUCUUCGUGCCUCCUGUCUGACUUGAUUUAUUCUGGGGAUUUGAGCUCCAGGGGAUUUUUGAGCACAUCGUUAUCAUUCAGAUUUCUUAGUAUCCCAGGACGAAGGAUGUUGGAAGUUGUUUCAAUACUAGUAGUGGCAAGAGGAGUCCCGCUUCCCAGUAUUGGUGCGAAUAGAUCCGGGUGUAUCGCCAUACUUAGUAUCGUUGUGAUUACGGGGGUCUGAGAUAGAUGAAGUUCCGAGAUUCUCGUUAUGUGUUGACGGAUGUGAUAUACUGGACGGGUUAGUAUAGGAGUUGAGUGAUAUAUUACUCCUUGUAUCCGUGGACUGGAUUGCAUGACCAAAAAUUUCGGAAGUUCUUAUAUGAGAAUGCAAGUAGUUACUUAUAGAACAAUCUUCCAACAAAUGCAUGAUGUUAGGUUGGGGUUCGACAUCUACUGGAUUCGUUUGUUCACGGUCAUUUUACAGUGGUUCUCGUUGUGUCUUAAAGAGUACUUGUAGCUUGCUACGACUCGGAGACGCUUCGUAUGUCGUGUGCACUCCCUUGUACAUGAUGGCUAUUGUAGGAUAGCGCCCGUGCGAGCCUCAUCCACGAAAAUAUCAAACGAAAUCUCUGUUAUGAAUUUGUUCUCGCUGUCUCAUAAGCCUCAUCCUUGUUUUUGUUGGAGUACGGUAUUUCGAGUUGCUUCGAUGUCAAAUGGUGAUUUCAUAUCUUUUCCAAGAGGUGUUCUCAUAUUUUUAUGUGAGUGCAUAUUCUUUUGCUCAAUCAAAGUGUCUUAUCCAUUUUUUUGAACCGGAGUCAUCAUGUUAAUUCCUUUUCAACCGGUGUGCUUCUCUUCAAGUCAAUUCUAUCAUUUUCAAGAUUUGUAAGAUCAAUCUCUCAUUUCUUUCCGGAGUUCAUCUCAUUUGUACCAAGUUGUCUUUGUUUUCCCCGCCCUCCCACCCUUUCCUUCUCUGAUUCAGUUAUCAUCCAAUUGCCUUUCUUUUCAUUGAUGCUUCCACUAUCUUUUCUUUCGUGUCCUAUCCGGUGAUUCAUUGAGAAGAUUAUCAGGAGUUUUGUGUUCAUCAUUUUUCAUUCCUGUUCUCUUUUCCGGUGGAUUCAAUUCAGUCUCUCAGUGUUCAUCAAAUCCUUUUUCAUUCGUUCAAUGCUCUCUCAUGUUGUAAAUUCUUAUUCAAGUCUCUCUUGUUUAUUCAUCAAUCUCUUUCUACCCGGAGUGUUCAAGAUAUCUCAGAAGUUUCUUGUUUUCAAACCUUUCAAUUAUUUCGAGGUUCCCAACCUCAUCAAGUUUUUCUUUAUAAUGGUGCAAUCAAUAUUUCUUAUCAAUUGUUUCAACGGUGUUUCUUUUCAGUGGGCCCAUAACCCACAGGUUUUUCCCAGGAUCUUAUUUGUCUCUUCUAAUCUUUUGCGGAGAUCGCUAAUUAAUUUUCAAAUAUGACGUAAGAAUGAUUUUCAUCAGUCUUAUCCCUUUUCCAAUAUCUAUGCGAUGUGUGCUCAUCAUUGGCUCAACCUUGCAUAUUCUGUAUUCCGGAGUGUCUUAGUUAUUCUGGUGUUCUUCUCCUCAUCAUUUUGAGCUUGGAAGACCGAUGGGUGUUUCUUUCAAAUCUUGGUCCAUUCUCCUGAACAUUCAUCAUUUUAGUUUUGUGUUAUCAUCUUGAAUUGUUCUCGAUCAUGAGUAAUCCCUUUCUUUCUAUCUAGUGCAUUUCUGAGUUGUUUUCAUUCUUGAUCCUCCGAAGGCCAUCAUUUCAGAAUAUUUCUUCGUUCUCAGCUUACAGCUUUCGUUCUCAAAUUCUUCUCAAUUGUUGUCUCUUAGUUCGCCUCUCAAUUAUUCGGGUGCCUUGUUCAGUGUUCUGUUAGGCGGCUCAAGAUCUCUUCUUUCUCAAGGUGUUUUCCAAGAUUCCUUGGUAGUAGUUGUCAUUUUCUUCUUCGUUCUUUCUUUCUAAGAUCUAGUUUCUAUUCUUUGUAACGGAGGCUUUGUGAUGUUGCUCUCUUCAAUCUAUAAUUUUAUCUUUUCAAGAUCAUUUUGUUCCCUUGUUCAAUUUAGUUAGUUUGUUGCGGAUCUUUUCAAGGUCUUUCCAUUCUAUCAAAUUUUGAUCCCCCUUUUCCUGCCGAAGUGCUGCCGAAAUUUCGUUUGAAUUCUUGCUUGUUCUCAAAUCAUUCUUCAUCUCUUCGCAAGCUUCAAGGAUCGUUGGUUUCACUCGUUUGUCAGAAGGAACUAAGUUUUACCUCUUGCUCUUUCUCUUCCUCUUCCCCUUUCAUUCUUGGAUCUCGGGUCGAGAUCCUCUUGUAGUGUAGGAGAGUUGUGACAACCCGAGACCGACGCUCUAGAAGAUUCCCCUUUUAUUUCGUUGCCACCGUAUUAUUAUUUUGUUUCUUGCAUUCAUCAUCGCAUCAUGUGCAUCAUCAGCAUCGCAUCGGCACUCCAUUGCCGCCAGUUUUCAAACUUGCAUCGGUUAUUAGUAGCCGGUUCUCUCCGUUAUAGACGUUGACCAUUUUGAGUCCGACCACACAUGCACGCGUCCGCGACAUCGUUUAAAUCUUGUUUUUAAAACUAUGUUUAAAAUAUUCUUGGAUUGGGAUGAAACUUUGCGUGCGGUCUUAUUUUAAUAUAGGUAGGACGCAUGCUAAUUUUCGUCGCAAUGGGAGUCCGUCUGGUACCUGAAAGGUCGACCGUAGCGGCACCGUCUUUGGUUAUUCGUCGGAUGUUUUUUGACAUUUUAAAUCCCGUUGCCGCGCCGCACUACUUCCCUCUCAUCUUCGCCAAAGCAACUCUACAUGGCCUAACCUAACCCUAGGGCAUUUCCGGAGCGUCCAAUCGAGAUCGGAGGGUCCGAAAACGCCCGAAAUGGAUAACCCUAGCCUGUUUUCUAUAAAUAGGCAGCUAGACACAUAAUACCCCUCAUUUUCUACGCCACCUCGAAACCCUAGCCGCCAUUGCCUCUGUCUCCUUCCACCUCCAGCCCCGC